CCGGCCGGUGACCGCCGCGCCCCGCGGAACGGAGGCACAAACGCGGCCGCCCGCGCAUCAGUGCGACGGCUCCGGUGGGGCGGCUGCCGAGAGGUCACAUUACAUCACCGCCGGGCGGCACCGCCUCGGCGCUCAGCGCAGCCCGCAGGCACAGACGGGCUCGCACCCAACCUUAGCGCAGCUCCUCACUCGAGCUGAAGGUCGCAUGCCAUGAGCUAAGCCCCUCAUAGGAAUUAGGCUUGGGCUGCUGAUACACCCUCCCUAAGAAUAUUCAGCCGCAGUGAAGCAAGAGACUCAUAUUCCCCAAUUUGCUUAGAGAUUCAAAGAUUCUGCAUAAAUCUGCCUUGCAGAUGAUUUGAGAAUGAAACUUGAUAAUCCAUUCAUGCUGCUUACAAAGAAAGAUGAGACGACAGAUCUCAGAGGCAGAAGUGGAUGAACUGAAACUAUUAGGCUACACUUGGACUUUUCACCACACGAGUCCCCCGUGUCUUCCUUUCCCAAUUGCCAUGCAGAGAUGUUCUUUCAGCUGAUCCAUUUUCCAUGUACCUUCAGCUUCCCAACCACAUGCCAGACACUCUGGUUCCAUCCAGGAUGGGUCUUGGCGUGGGAAUCCCACUUGAGCUGCUCCCACAGGUCCAGCCUGCUGCUCAGGAUACUCUGCCUCUAUUCCAAGGAAUACCUGUGCCACAGGAAGGUGGCAUGUUGGCUCAGCUGCAGGAGGAACCCCAAAGCCCAUCACUGUCAACAAGAGCUCCAACCAAGCACAGAGCUUUGCCAGCAUGAAAUCCCAUUUCCUGAGCAGCGCCAAGUAUUGUGUGAAAUUUUUAUUUUCUCUGAAAACUCUAUCACUCUCUUAAAUCCUCUGAUUUUUUUUCCCACUGUAAAGAACAAAGCUUGAGAUAAAAGCAUCUGACCAGCCACAGCAAAAAUACAGUGAAAGGCCAUGAAAAGGAGCUGUCAUCCUUUAUGCCCAAAUAUAUUCCAUUUUAAUGCGACUGAAAAAGAACAGCUUGGGGAAAAGACAGCAAUAAAUAAAGGCUUUUCUUCUUCUUCUAAUUCAGCAGUGUGUGAUCUGAAAGGUCACAUGACAUUGGAUUUUUAAAAGUUCAAAUUAAUUUCCAUCCAUGAAAUAAACAGUUAACUGAAAAAUGUCCAAAAGCUUUUUAAUACAAAAGCUUCAGGGAAGAGUGUCCGCUUGCCUCAACGUUACCAGUGUUUCUCUGGAGCAGCAUUUCACGGCUUUUGAUCACAAGGUGCCAUAGAAAGCACGAAUGUGAGAUGAACAGCUUCAGGGAACACCACGUUCCUCACAAACAUGAACACCUCCACAGUUGUGUCUUCAGGAGACACAGCUUUAUUGUACAGGCACCAGUGAGACGGGAAUUCAAAGAGUAUGGCCAUCGGAAGUAGUUUAAACUUCAAAAGUCUGGGGAAAAGUGUAGUCUAAUAAUGGAAGCAAAAACGUAUCAAGUGAAACUACUCUGGAACGUUUCUACAAGGAGAGGUCUAAUUUCACAUGCGCUCAUGUUUGCGUUACAAGAUCAAACCGGAGUGGGAAGUGCAACAUAAUUACUCCCAUCUCCUGGCAAAUGUAAAACUUUCCUUUUAGACAGAACACCUCACUGAUCAAAUGCCAAGUACUUCCCUCUUCCUGGGCUGCUACCGUCACUGGUGAGGACCACAACUGCCCCAAAACAAACACUGCAAUUUUCACAUUAAAGCUGCAUUUUUGCAAUACUCCCCUGAAUAAUUCUCAUUCACAGCCCGAAGUGCAGAGUCUGGGCAAAUGAGCUUGGAGAGGGCAGUGCUGGGAUUGCUGCAGCCUCUGUCCAGUGGCAAGGGGGAUGGCAGUCCCUGUCCAUCCUUCCAGCCCUUUCACACCACGUGCCAAAUGCCAGCAGCAAUGUGGAUCCGCAGCCAAUUAAAUCUCCAUAGCUGACCACAGUUUGCCAGCUCAGAAACAUUUCCGCUGCUGUGUCCUGCUCACCCCUGGACAUGCAGAUACCCAGCAACUGUUGCUGGAAAAUUCUCCAGCAUAUCCUCAAGGACUUGCUUUUCAUUUCUGCCUCCAGACCCUCCGGUGCUUUAAGUUUCUGACUGCUGGGCGGAGUCUCUAAGCAUUGUUAUAACCAAUAAUAAUUAUCUGAUGAUUUUAAAAACACUUUUGGACAUUUCCAGUGAGGCCCUAAAGCUGUUCAAUAGCUCUCUGCCAAAAAUAUGUCAUAGCCAAGUACUUGCCUAGCAGUCAUUUUACACAAAGAUGGCUAAACUGUUUUUGUUCAGACCUUCCAAAAAUACUUUUGAGAGGAGUUCAGACUUGAAAAAUGUCAUUCCCAAAUUGGAAGGCAGUGGAGAGAGCUUUAAAAAUGAAAAGAUCAAGUAAUUUUAGUUACAGUUGCUCCUAGAUGUUCUUCCCAUCAGUCAUGUGUCUGUAGCUGACACCCAACACAGCAUCCCCAACAUCAGCUGCUCUCCAGCGCAGCCCGUUCGUUCUCUGCUGGCUCAUCCCCUGUCCCUAGGCAGAGCUCCACACCUUCCCAUCCCUAACCAAGGAGAGAGUUCCCCUUCCUCGCCUUCCCAUCCUGUCCCUACAGAGCCUCUCUCCACCAUGGUAGCACCCCAGCCAUGGAUCUCUUGCCAGUCUGGUCCAUUACUCCCUCAUUUGUGUUGUUGUAGUCAUCUCUCUCUGUCCAUCCUAGGUUAAAGUUUUCCUCAGCAGCUUUUGCCAGCACAUUGGAAAAAUGCUCUUGCCUUAUUUGGCCAGGAGGAUCACACCUCCUCCUAACAGUCCUUGACAGUCAAAGAGCGUCCCACGGUCACAAAAACCAGAUCCCUGCUGUAAAUGCCAGCUGUGCCAGCACUUACUGGCCACAGGAUCCAUCCACUCCUCCUCCAGCUCUUUCACCAUCAAAGGAUUCACUUUCCAGCCCUGACUGCCACUCCUGUAGUCACUGCACCAGCAUAAAUUAGAUAAUGCAUUUUACAAUACAAUAUAGAUCAACUUUUCGUAAUGGAGUCUCCAGCAGUGUUCACAGUGUUGGUACCUAUGAAAGUUAAUAGUCUGACACCAGGCCAUCCACACAGUAUUUCCUACUUCACUGCAUGCCCACUUCCACUGCACAAAGGAUAUUAUGGAUAACGCCAUCUAGCUAAAGCUGGCCAGAAACAAAAUCCUUCAGUCGUCAAAAUGACUGCUUUUGUAUUCAAAGCAUUUACAGAUGGAAUCCUCAUGUUUUGCUCCUGGACUUGACCACAGGUAAAAGUAAAGAGCCAACUUUGAGCAAACCAAACUAGGCAACAUGCACUUUUCUCAUCCCAGAAAUACUUUUGAUAGAGAAAGAAGUUCAUGUAAUUCCAACUAGGAGAAAACAUAAAAGAAAUCUAGAAAAAAAUGUUUUCAAAUUAACAACCUGAAGAGAGGAGAUAAGAUCAGCUUGAAUUAGUCAUUGAGCUUUUCAAAAUUUCAGAAAGUUGCAACUUAAACCCCUUUAAUUAACUGCUUGUGGUAAAUAGUUUCUAUUUAUUUUGUAAGAAAACUAACUACAUUAAAAGUUUUUUCUUCUUGAAA